UCUUCGAUAGUAUAAUGGUGAGUAUCUCCGCCUGUCACGGGGAAGACCGGGGUUCAAUUCCCCGUCGGGGAG
rnacentral:tRNA from 1 species